ACCAUUUGGCCGCUCGCAUUCUACGCAGCUGUUCGGAACCCGGGUUCCUGGGCUCCUCACUCAGCUCAUUGUCUCUUAGUCUCCUGUCUCUUCGAGGAACAAGGCUCAGCUGGGAGGUCGCAGCCCACCCCAGGUGCAUUAUAACGUCAGGCGCGUAGGGUGCCGGAGCAAAUCUCAGCCCUUUCACGCCAGGGAGGGAGGAGGGAUGUUUGGGGGUCAGGACGGCCCGCCAAAACCACCCACGGAAGGUGCAUGGAUUGAGUUGGCAAGAAAGGCGCCACAGCGGGUUGGAUUCAAGGUAGACAGUGGGACUUCCGUGAGGGAGAAGCAGCAUGGCUAAUAGAGAAAGGUAUAUUAGAGACCCAGCCUCGACUGAGAGGUCGAAAUAGGUACAGAGAAGCAGAGACUGAAACACGGAACUCUUGUUUAUUCGGCUCUGGGCGUCAGUGUUCUUCGCCCAGCCUGGUCCCGUGUGCUUCUAGGUCCAACCUAGUCGCAGCCCGGGGAGGGACUGGGGAAGACGGUUUCAGGGGCUGGAGUUAGGGGAGAAGAAAUGUGGAGUAGAAGCUCCAACAUACAGAUAGGCAAACUGAAGCCGAGGAGGGGACGAGCCGUGCCCGAGGUCACCCAGCGAGCUGGGCACUGCGCUAGCCCCCUCGCUGCAGCUGCAACUCCCACUGACCUCCAUGGAGGGCAAGUCCCCAGCCCUAAGCCCCAAGCCAUUCUAGGGGAGGAAGCAGGGCCACUCCCCCAUGAGAAAUUCUAUCCUUGCAAACAUACACCCCCAACCCACUCAGUGUCCCCAGCUGCAGAGGGCUGGGCACAGUUGGGCCUUG
rnacentral:lncRNA from 1 species